rnacentral:rRNA from 1 species
GUACGGAAGGCAGCAGUGGGGAAUUUUGGACAAUGGGCGAAAGCCUGAUCCAGCAAUGCCGCGUGAGUGAAGAAGGCCUUCGGGUUGUAAAGCUCUUUUGUCAGGGAAGAAACGGUGAAGGCUAAUAUCCCUUGCUAAUGACGGUACCUGAAGAAUAAGCACCGGCUAACUACGUGCCAGCAGCCGCGGUAAUACGUAGGGUGCAAGCGUUAAUCGGAAUUACUGGCGUAAAGCGUGCGCAGGCGGUUUUGUAAGUCUGUCGUGAAAUCCCCGGGCUCAACCUGGGAAUUGCGAUGGAGACUGCAAGGCUAGAAUCUGGCAGAGGGGGGUAGAAUUCCACGUGUAGCAGUGAAAUGCGUAGAGAUGUGGAGGAACACCGAUGGCGAAGGCAGCCCCCUGGGUCAAGAUUGACGCUCAUGCACGAAAGCGUGGGGAGCAAACAGGAUUAGAAACCCCAGUAGUCCG